rnacentral:rRNA from 1 species
AUUGAACGCUGGCGGAAUGCUUUACACAUGCAAGUCGAACGGUAGAGGGGGCAACCCCUCGAGAGUGGCGAACGGGUGAGUAAUAUAUCGGAACGUGCCCAGUCGUGGGGGAUAACGUAGCGAAAGUUACGCUAAUACCGCAUACGAUCUAAGGAUGAAAGCGGGGGAUCGCAAGACCUCGCGCGAUUGGAGCGGCCGAUAUCAGAUUAGGUAGUUGGUGGGGUAAAGGCUGACCAAGCCAACGAUCUGUAGCUGGUCUGAGAGGACGACCAGCCACACUGGAACGGGGACACGGUCCAGACUCCUACGGGAGGCAGCAGUGGGGAAUUUUGGACAAUGGACGCAAGUCUGAUCCAGCCAUUCCGCGUGCAGGAUGAAGGCCCUCGGGUUGUAAACUGCUUUUGUACGGAACGAAAAGGUCUCUCUUAAUACGGGGGACUCAUGACGGUACCGUAAGAAUAAGCACCGGCUAACUACGUGCCAGCCGCCGCCGUAA